rnacentral:rRNA from 1 species
AGAGUUUGAUCCUGGCUCAGGACGAACGCUGGCGGCGCGCCUAACACAUGCAAGUCGAACGGAGCUGUUUUCUCUGAAGUUUUCGGAUGGAAGAGAGUUCAGCUUAGUGGCGAACGGGUGAGUAACACGUGAGCAACCUGCCUUUCAGUGGGGGACAACAUUUGGAAACGAAUGCUAAUACCGCAUAAGACCACAGUGUCGCAUGGCACAGGGGUCAAAGGAUUUAUCCGCUGAAAGAUGGGCUCGCGUCCGAUUAGCUAGAUGGUGAGGUAACGGCCCACCAUGGCGACGAUCGGUAGCCGGACUGAGAGGUUGAACGGCCACAUUGGGACUGAGACACGGCCCAGACUCCUACGGGAGGCAGCAGUGGGGAAUAUUGCACAAUGGGGGAAACCCUGAUGCAGCGACGCCGCGUGGAGGAAGAAGGUCUUCGGAUUGUAAACUCCUGUCCCAGGGGACGAUAAUGACGGUACCCUGGGAGGAAGCACCGGCUAACUACGUGCCAGCAGCCGCGGUAAAACGUAGGGUGCAAGCGUUGUCCGGAAUUACUGGGUGUAAAGGGAGCGCAGGCGGAUUGACAAGUUGGGAGUGAAAUCUAUGGGCUCAACCCAUAAAUUGCUUUCAAAACUGUCAGUCUUGAGUGGUGUAGAGGUAGGCGGAAUUCCCGGUGUAGCGGUGGAAUGCGUAGAUAUCGGGAGGAACACCAGUGGCGAAGGCGGCCUACUGGGCACUAACUGACGCUGAGGCUCGAAAGCAUGGGUAGCAAACAGGAUUAGAUACCCUGGUAGUCCAUGCCGUAAACGAUGAUUACUAGGUGUGGGAGGAUUGACCCCUUCCGUGCCGCAGUUAACACAAUAAGUAAUCCACCUGGGGAGUACGACCGCAAGGUUGAAACUCAAAGGAAUUGACGGGGGCCCGCACAA